rnacentral:lncRNA from 1 species
AACAGCCUAAAAAGGAGCAGGAGAUGAAUGUUCCUCUAAAUGAUAGCUUGCUGGUUGGGCACGGUGGUGCUUCAGCUUCUGCUCCUCCACCUCCACUCCCCCGUUCAGAGGCUACUUCAACAGUGUUGUAUCCCAUUAUUGACCUGGCUGAAUCAGAAGCCGAUGAGACAUCUCAUCCAGCAGUCUCUUUUACCGGUUUACCAACAUCAUCUGAAGAGAUCCGUAGUGAUAAAGAUGCUGUUGAGCAGACCCUCCUCAGGGAACUCGAGGAGAUGGGUUUCAAGCAGGUUGAUUUGAACAAGGAGAUAUUGAGGAUGAAUGAGUAUGACUUGGAGCAGUCUGUGGAUGAUCUCUGUGGUGUGUCUGAGUGGGAUCCAAUCCUCGAGGAGUUGCAGGAGAUGGUGAGUUCCUAUGUCAAAACUGUGAUGAAGUGUAGGAAUGUUUUGUUUUCUCUCUGUUUUAUCUUUCCUUUCCUCCCUCUGUGUAUAUGGAUUUCCAGUAAGGAGAGACCUACAGAUAUUGAAUCCCCAUUUGGUUUGUGUUACAGGGUUUCCAUGACGAAGAAACUAACAAGAGGCUGCUGAAGAAGAACAAUGGGAGUAUCAAGGGUGUGGUGAUGGAUCUUCUUACCGGGGAGAAAGCUUAGUUGAUCCCAGUAGUAUAUAUAUUUAUGAAUAAAAUGUUGAGACUAAAACAUGAUAUGGAUGAUU